GUCCUGGCAGUAAACGGUGCACGUUUGGUGUGGGCGCAAUCGACCGCGUCCGCGCCGGAGCUAACGCGUUAAACGUGCCGCCUGGGAAGUACGGUCGCAAGAUUAAAACUCAAAGAAAUUGACGGGGACCCGCACAAGCGGUGGAGUAUGUGGCUUAAUUCGAUGCAACGCGAAGAACCUUACCUGGUCUUGACAUGCAUUGUGUCUCUGGUGAAAGCCUGAUAGGGUAGCAAUACCCGCUUUGCACAGGUGCUGCAUGGCUGUCGU
rnacentral:rRNA from 1 species